AUUGAACGCUGGCGGCAUGCUUUACACAUGCAAGUCGAACGGUAACAGGUUAAGCUGACGAGUGGCGAACGGGUGAGUAAUGCAUCGGAACGUGCCCGAUCGUGGGGGAUAACGCAGCGAAAGCUGCGCUAAUACCGCAUACGAUCUGAGGAUGAAAGCGGGGGACCGUAAGGCCUCGCGCGAUCGGAGCGGCCGAUGUCAGAUUAGGUAGUUGGUGGGGUAAAGGCCCACCAAGCCGACGAUCUGUAGCUGGUCUGAGAGGACGACCAGCCACACUGGGACUGAGACACGGCCCAGACUCCUACGGGAGGCAGCAGUGGGGAAUUUUGGACAAUGGGCGAAAGCCUGAUCCAGCAAUGCCGCGUGCAGGAAGAAGGCCUUCGGGUUGUAAACUGCUUUUGUACGGAGCGAAAAGGUCCCUUCUAAUACAAGGGGCUUAUGACGGUACCGUAAGAAUAAGCACCGGCUAACUACGUGCCAGCCGCCGCGGUAACAC
rnacentral:rRNA from 1 species